CAAGGGAGUGAGGUGGACUGUAUGGCCUCAGAGGUUCCUAUGAAGUGGCCUGGGCAGCAUGGAAAACAUAAAGAGCGACAGAUAUGAAGCCAGAAGACCGGGGCUUUAAAUCCUGUGACCAGGUGAUCUCUAAGAUUGGCCGGCUGCCUUACGUGUCAGCCACAAGGCUGGACAAAAGGGGCAGUGAGUGCUGUGUAUGGUUCAUGGACAUUCACUGGGAGAAAACAGUAGGACCAAGGAGAGAGUCUGCCAGGAACCAAGCAGCUCAAGGGGUAAGGAACAGCUGGAUUGAAUUAAGUUGAAUUUCAGUUCUGGCUCAAUAAGCCAUGUCUAGGCACAAACCAAAUCUGGCCUUGGACUGAAAUUUCGAAAGUACUGAAACAUUUUCCCAGUUGACUCACC